UACAGAGGUGGCAAGCGUUGUUCGGAAUUACUGGGCGUAAAGGGCGCGUAGGCGGUCUUGUAAGUCUCGUGUGAAAUCCCUCGGCUUAACUGAGGAACUGCACGGGAUACUGCAUGACUUGAGAUCGGGAGAGGGAUGCGGAAUUCCAGGUGUAGCGGUGAAAUGCGUAGAUAUCUGGAGGAACACCGGUGGCGAAGGCGGCAUCCUGGACCGAUACUGACGCUGAGGAGCGAAAGCCAGGGGAGCAAACGGG
rnacentral:rRNA from 1 species